rnacentral:rRNA from 1 species
CAGAGGGUGCGAGCGUUAAUCGGAUUUACUGGGCGUAAAGCGUGCGUAGGUGGCUUUAAGUCAAAUGUGAAAUCCCCGAGCUUAACUUGGGAAUUGCAUUCGAUACUGGAAAGCUAGAGUAUGGGAGAGGAUGGUAGAAUUCCAGGUGUAGCGGUGAAAUGCGUAGAGAUCUGGAGGAAUACCGAUGGCGAAGGCAGCCAUCUGGCCUAAUACUGACACUGAGGUACGAAAGCAUGGGAGCAAACAGGAUU